UAAAAUUGAAAAACAAGGGGACUUGGGUAAUAAUCUUGAUGCAUCGUGAUGCAUCGCCGAAUCGAAUCGAAUCGUGGACUUGAUAAUCGUAAUCGCAUCGAAUCGUGAGACGAGUGAAGAUGCGCAGCCCUACUGAACAGUCUAUAUU